rnacentral:rRNA from 1 species
CGUGGGUAACCUGCCCAAGAGAUCGGGAUAACACCUGGAAACAGAUGCUAAUACCGGAUAAUAACAGAUGAUGCCUAUCAACUGUUUAAAAGAUGGUUCUGCUAUCACUCUUGGAUGGACCUGCGGUGCAUUAGCCAGUUGGUAGGGUAACGGCCUACCAAGGCGAUGAUGCAUAGCCGAGUUGAGAGACUGAUCGGCCACAUUGGGACUGAGACACGGCCCAAACUCCUACGGGAGGCAGCAGUC